CUCAUGAGCAUGCUCUUGGUUCACGACCGGGAUUAGGCCGUAGUCAGAAAGAAGGGGCUCGUAAUUUGCCUUUAGAAGUACAUUUGAGGACUUGAGAUGGCCGUGUGGGGUUAUCAAACUUGGAAGCUCACUGUAUAGAUAUCGAAGACCCUUUCCAACGCCCUUGAUGAUCUUCAAUCUUGCAGGCCAAUCCAGGGCUGGUUGUCCCACAGCUUUAUGUCCUAAGAAGGAAAUGGACAACAUAAUACAAUUCAGCCAACCAAAUUUUGAACUAUUCAGACGAGUACUAAACUCAAAUGUUUAGUCUUUGUUUGGUACAAAAAAGGAUGAACAUACCAUGAAGUUGAACAGCCAAGCUGCCCUUCUCAACGUAAUCUGUUAUGAGAAGCUUUUCUUCUUUUUUGUAAUAGUAAGCCACAAGAGGAAGCAAAUUAGUGUGUUUCAAUCUUCCAAUUCUUCUCAUAUGUUCUUGGAAUUCCUCUCUACCCACAUUGUUCAUUUGCUUAAACCUCUUUACAACCAUCACAGGUCCAUUGGUCAAAGCUGCUUUGUAAGAAGAACCAAAGCACCCACUUCCUAGGAUUUCUGCUGAGGCUUUAAGCAAAUCUGAUAAAUCAAACCUCUCUGAAUCCUCUCUUACAAAUGACAAUUUGGCACUAUCGGCUGACCGUUUUCCUGUCACGCUUCCAUUACUCGAGCCACGGUCUGGUGACUUCACCCCGGCUCCUGGAUCUAGCUCACUAGCACUUGGAGAUUUUCCGUUGGCUGGAUCUUCUUCGUUAGACGAUGAUUGGUUACAACGGCUCAGGAUGACUAUUCCUGCACCAAUGGCAAGAAGAGCCAAUGUCACAGCUAUUGAAACCAUGAUAAUGCUCCCAAUUGAUGGCACCUUUGCGGCGUUGCAUGGUUUCUUAAGUGGUGCUCCACAUAAACCUUCAAUGCCUGCAUGCACGAGAAUCAGCUUGUUAGAAAGUUAGAACGACAUAUGAUAGAGUUGACAGAAGAAGUUUCAUAAUGGAAUCUAAAUUAGAUACAAAUUUUCCUCCGAGCUUUGUGUUAUCGAUUGAUCCAAAAGUGUGAGAUGACGAGUGAAAUUAGAUUUAAUAUUGAUUAAUCUAUCCUUUACCUUUAUUCGUGGCCUUAAAACAAGUAGAUGAGUCGAUAAAUGAAAGUAAAUAUUAAUUGAGGAGGAAGUGACAUUGCAUGGUUUUGAA